GCAUAUCAAUAAGCGGAGGAAAAAGAAACCAACAGGGAUUGCCUCAGUAACGGCGAGUGAAGCGGCAACAGCUCAAAUUUGAAAUCUGGCCUCACGGUCCGAGUUGUAAUUUGUAGAGGAUGCUUUUGGCGAGGUGCUUUCCGAGUUCCCUGGAACGGGACGCCAUAGAGGGUGAGAGCCCCGUACGGUAAGACCACCGAGCCUCUGUAAAGCUCCUUCGACGAGUCGAGUAGUUUGGGAAUGCUGCUCUAAAUGGGAGGUGUACGUCUUCUAAAGCUAAAUACCGGCCAGAGACCGAUAGCGCACAAGUAGAGUGAUCGAAAGAUGAAAAGCACUUUGAAAAGAGGGUUAAAAAGUACGUGAAAUUGUUGAAAGGGAAGCAUUCAUGACCAGACUUGGGCUUGGUUGAACAUCCGGCGUUCUCGCCGGUGCACUCUGCCAGUCCAGGCCAGCAUCAGUUUGCCCCGGGGGACAAAGGCGGUGGGAAUGUGGCUCCCCUCGGGGAGUGUUAUAGCCCGCCGUGUAAUGCCCUGGGGCGGACUGAGGAACGCGCUUCGGCACGGAUGCUGGCGUAAUGGUCAUCAAUGACCCGUCUUGAAACACGGACCAAGGAGUCGUCUUCGUAUGCGAGUGUUCGGGUGUCAAACCCCUACGCGUAAUGAAAGUGAACGUAGGUGAGAGCUUCGGCGCAUCACCGACCGAUCCUGAUGUUCUCGGAUGGAUUUGAGUAAGAGCAUACGGGGCCGGACCCGAAAGAAGGUGAACUAUGCCUGUAUAGGGUGAAGCCAGAGGAAACUCUGGUGGAGGCUCGCAGCGGUUCUGACGUGCAAAUCGAUCGUCAAAUAUGGGCAUGGGGGCGAAAGACUAAUCGAACCUUCUAGUAGCUGGUUUCCGCCGA
rnacentral:rRNA from 1 species